UACGUAGGGGGCAAGCGUUGUCCGGAAUUAUUGGGCGUAAAGCGCGCGCAGGCGGUCGUUCAAGUCGCGUGUGAAAGCCCCCGGCUCAACUGGGGAGGGUCACGCGAUACUGAUCGACUCGAAGGCAGGAGAGGGUAGUGGAAUUCCCGGUGUAGUGGUGAAAUGCGUAGAUAUCGGGAGGAACACCAGUGGCGAAGGCGACUACCUGGCCUGUUCUUGACGCUGAGGCGCGAAAGCUAGGGGAGCAAACGGG
rnacentral:rRNA from 1 species